UUCUCGUCAAGACCAGUAUUUAGGAGAUCUAGUUUCAGUCAUUUAUUUUACACCGGCUACGCUAGGUUUCCUGAAAAGGGUAGAGGAAGGAAGUGAUGUCAUUAAGUACUGCCCCUAUAUAUAGGACCUUCCACCCCCACCUGGGAUAUGGAUGCCUGGUGAAGACCUAAAGGUCGAAACAUAGGAAUAAAUAUCACAUGGGAGCAUGAGCAGCAGUGGGCAGCGUUUCACUUUCUGUUUUCCAUGAGUUUGCCUACAACUCCAGCACCUGUGGAAAGUACCUGGAUGUGGAUAACAAAAACGAAAGCAAAAUUGUAAAAUCAAGAAAAAUCAAGGUCUGACAAAGCAACAUGAAAAGAAGCAAAAAGCAGUAGCGGGUAAACUCGAAGGCAGUACAGAAAAAAGAGACAACUAAAAGCUGUAUUGGACAAAAUACCAUCAAGCGAGGAAGAUGAUACACUUCAACAUGUUCAAGAAGCAAGUGAAAAACAUGCAGCCUCCCCAAGAGAACAGCCAUUCUCACCUCAGCAGGUAAAUGUCUUGCCAUCAACUCCUAAAAGAAGAGAGACAUCUCUACAGACACCAGGACCAAGGAAGACAUCUACCCCAAAGGAAUCACCCAAAAAGAGGAACAGAAGAAAGAAAACACUAUCAAAAUUUAGGUCAAAGUUGCACUACACAGAAGAGAAGCUUCUGGAGAGGACCAAAGAGAUGGUCAAUCUAAAGAAAAUACUGAAAAGACUUGAGAUGAUGGCCAAGAGGAAGCAGGUAAUUGUCAACAUGGAAGGCAAAGAGGUCCAGAAAACUACAAGGAGAGGUCAUCAGAGAACAUUACAGCCAGAGAAGACUAAUGCGCAAACUUGUUAGCCGCAUCCUUCAUCAAGAUGAAGUCUCCUCUGUAAAAAAUGGGAAAUCCUUAACGGACGCUAUGGCAAAGAGAGCCUUAAUCCGUUAAGGCUCUCUUUGGCAAAUCUUCAUAGAAGAUCUCUGUCUGAGAAUCCAAGGCAAAACCUUUCCAAGGCCCAAUUCUUUAAACUUAAGCCAUUUUGGAUUGGCCAGCGAAGAGUCACAGACAGAGAAACAUGUGCUUGCAAAACGCAUGGAAACUUUGGCUUGAAGAUAAAGAAGCUGCACCAGCUUGGGGUCAUAGAAACAUCAUCCCCAGGCCAGUGUGUGUAGUGACAAUGACAUAUCCUGCUCUGUUUUUGUAUGUUUUCAGCCUAUGUAUGUUAUGUACUUUUAAAGCACUGAAAAAUCAAAUUGAUUGAACUUGAAUCCAUGAUUGUGCCAAUAUUAUCAAAUGUAUUUUCUACAUUAAAUGUCAUGUUUUUAAUCAUA